CCUACGGGUGGCAGCAGUAGGGAAUCUUCCACAAUGGGCGAACGCCUGAUGGAGCAACGCCGCGUGGGUGAAGAAGGUCUUCGGAUCGUAAAACCCUGUUGUUAGAGAAGAAAGUGCGUGAGAGUAACUGUUCACGUUUCGACGGUAUCUAACCAGAAAGCCACGGCUAACUACGUGCCAGCAGCCGCGGUAAUACGUAGGUGGCAAGCGUUAUCCGGAUUUAGUGGGCGUAAAGGGAACGAAGGCGGUCUUUUAAGUCUGAUGGGAAAGCCUUCGGCUUAACCGGAGUAGUGCAUUGGAAACUGGGAGACUUGAGUGCAGAAGAGGAGAGUGGAACUCCAUGUGUAGCGGUGAAAUGCGUAGAUAUAUGGCAGAACACUAGUGGCGAAAGCGGCUCUCUGGUCUGUAACUGACGCUGAGGUUCGAAAGCGUGGGUAGCAAACAGGAUUAGAUACCCGUGUAGUC
rnacentral:rRNA from 1 species